UCUUUGAAGUUUGGAUAUUGAUUGCAUCUGACUGAGUGGUCUGGAUGAAAGAGAAUUUAUAUGGUCAACCUUAUUAGUUGGGGAAUGAGGCAUAGUUAAAAACAAAUUAAAUUCAGAAUGAGGCGUAGUUACUUAUCAAAAAUAAAGUGUUUGAAAUCAAGACAUAAACAAGUUGAGCUGUUAUAGUAGCUGUGAUUUAAUCACUCUCUAGUCAUGGUUUAAUGAAUUUUAGGAAUCAACCAUACUCAUU
rnacentral:lncRNA from 1 species